rnacentral:tRNA from 1 species
UUCCCCAGCCAGGGAUUGAACCUGGGCCACAGCGGUGAAAGUGCCGAGUCCUAACCACUGGACCACCAGGGA